rnacentral:lncRNA from 1 species
CCCUGUUCCUGGAGAGAUACCCCUCCUGUAGGUUUUAACUCCAACCCUGUUCCUGGAGAGAUACCCUCCUGUAGGUUUUAACUCCAACCCCUGUUCCUGGAGAGAUACCCUCCUGUAGGUUUUAACUCCAACCCUGUUCCUGGAGAGAUACCCCUCCUGUAGGUUUUAACUCCAACCCUGUUCCUGGAGAGAUACCCUCCUGUAGGUUUUAACUCCAACCCUGUUCCUGGAGAGAUAUCCUCCUGUAGGUUUUAACUCCAACCCUGUUCCUGGAGAGAUACCCUCCUGUAGGUUUUAACUCCAACCCUGUUCCUGGAGAGAUACCCCUCCUGUAGGUUUUAACUCCAACCCUGUUCCUGGAGAGAUACCCCUCCUGUAGGUUUUAACUCCAACCCUGUUCCUG